UACGGAGGAUGCGAGCGUUAUCCGGAUUUAUUGGGUUUAAAGGGUGCGUAGGCGGACUGUCAAGUCAGCGGUAAAAUUGAGAGGCUCAACCUCUUCCCGCCGUUGAAACUGGUGGUCUUGAGUGGAUGAGAAGUACGCGGAAUUCCUGGUGUAGCGGUGAAAUGCGUAGAUAUCAGGAGGAACACCGGUGGCGAAGGCGGCCUGCUGGACUGCAACUGACGUUGAGGCCCGAAAGCGUGGGGAGCAAACAGG
rnacentral:rRNA from 1 species